rnacentral:rRNA from 1 species
CCUACGGGUGGCAGCAGUGAGGAAUAUUGGUCAAUGGACGGAAGUCUGAACCAGCCAUGCCGCGUGCAGGAAGACGGCUCUAUGAGUUGUAAACUGCUUUUGUACAAGGGUAAACCUGAAUACGUGUAUUCGGCUGAUAGUACUGUACGAAUAAGGAUCGGCUAACUCCGUGCAAGCAGCCGCGGUAAUACGGAGGAUCCAAGCGUUAGCCGGAUUUAUUGGGUUUAAAGGGUGCGUAGGCGGAUUGAUAAGUUAGAGGUGAAAUGUCCGAGCUUAACUCGGGAACUGCCUCUAAUACUGUUGAUCUAGAGAGUAGAUGCGGUAGGCGGAAUGUAUGGUGUAGCGGUGAAAUGCUUAGAGAUCAGACAGAACACCGAUUGCGAAGGCAGCUUACCAAUCUAUAUCUGACGUUGAGGCACGAAAGCGUGGGGAGCAAACAGGAUUAGAUACCCCUGUAGUC